UGGGGAAUAUUGGGCAACGGGCGCAAGCCUGACCCAGCAACGCCGCGUGAGGGAAGAAGGUUUUCGGAUUGUAAACCUCUGUCGCAGGGGACGAAGGAAGUGACGGUACCCUGUAAGAAAGCCCCGGCUAACUACGUGCCAGCAGCCGCGGUAAUACGUAGGGGGCGAGCGUGGUCCGGAAUUACUGGGCGUAAAGGGAGCGUAGGCGGUCGAUUAAGUUAGAUGUGAAACCCCCGGGCUUAACUUGGGGACUGCAUCUAAUACUGGUUGACUUAGAGUACAGUAGAGG
rnacentral:rRNA from 1 species